rnacentral:rRNA from 1 species
AGUGAACGCUGGCGGUAGGCCUAACACAUGCAAGUCGAACGGCAGCACAGUAAGAGCUUGCUCUUACGGGUGGCGAGUGGCGGACGGGUGAGGAAUACAUCGGAAUCUACUUUUUCGUGGGGGAUAACGUAGGGAAACUUACGCUAAUACCGCAUACGACCUACGGGUGAAAGCAGGGGAUCUUCGGACCUUGCGCGAUUGAAUGAGCCGAUGUCGGAUUAGCUAGUUGGCGGGGUAAAGGCCCACCAAGGCGACGAUCCGUAGCUGGUCUGAGAGGAUGAUCAGCCACACUGGAACUGAGACACGGUCCCGACUCCUAAGGGAGGCAGCAGUGGGGAAUAUUGGACAAUGGGCGCAAGCCUGAUCCAGCCAUACCGCGGGGGGGAAGAAGGCCUUCGGGUUGGAAAGCCCUUUUGUUGGGAAAGAAAAGCAGCAGGUUAAUACCCCGCUGUUCUGACGGUACCCAAAGAAUAAGCACCGGCUAACUUCGUG